AUUUAUAUAUGUGAAUUACUAGAAACGUUUCGAUUUUAGGAUUAGAUAUUUUGCAUUUAUACAUUUGUCAGCCUACUGGACUGUAAGUUCAUUGAGGGUAAGAAGAAAAAGACCAUGAUAACCCCUUCUGGGAAUAUCAGUGCCUACGAAAACAUCUGUUUCUCAGUAAAUGUUGGGUAUCGAUGCUGAGCAAUGCUGAAACAUAUGCAUGAGCAUUGUUACUCCAGUACUGAGAGCCAAAGAUGCCAUGGUGCACUCUAUCAUUUUAGAAAGACCACAGACAAUUAGAUGGAAAAGGAAGGCAACAUCUUGCUAGGAUCUUGUGUAUGCUUCCAGGCAGAUGAACAGCCUUUUUCCUAGGGAAAUGCAUGGCAGGCUUCAUGUAAGAGGUUCCCUCAAUAACCAAACACUCCAUUCAAAGGUUAUAUUUACACAGCUCAUUAGGAAAAUUUUUUAUACUUUUGACACUCAUUAGACUCAUAAUCGUCCACUGAAGCUACUGUGUAACAAGAGAUAAACACUCCAUUCUAGAGGAUGAAUAAUUAGGUACUGCUCAGCACUGUGCUCUUUACACGUCUAAUUUUAGAGCAUAAUUAAUCCUGCUGAAGCUGCAUACGAUAAGUGAAAUAUUUAUGCAGCUGUGUUAAUUCAUGUAUUUACUCCUAGAGAGACAUUCAGAAUUGGUCAUGGCUUUCCGGGAAGAUCAUCUGGAGACACCCCCUGGACCAAUGGCAUUUUCUCUCCCAAGUCUUAUGCCUCCCGAUGGCCUCAAGAGAUGAAGCUGAAUAGAGACAUUUCCCAAACCCAAGUCUGACCAGGAAGGCAAUGAGCCAGAACAGAAAAUAUCGAUGAGAACCUAGAUGUUCUAUCAAACCAAACCCUUGCCAGGAAGAGGAACACAUUAGCACUUGAGAUGAGGACACUGAGGCCCAGAGAUCUCCGCCCAAUUUUUCCAGACCGGUCUGUCACUCACCAAAGCAGUGUGCCUUCAGGACACCAUUGCCGGGCUCCCCCAGUGCAAGGCCUCAGCUGGGAUGCAGGGUCAGAGAACUGGCUCUGCAUACUUUGUGGAAAGUUGGGAAAGUCUAAAUAUUUCUCUAAGCCUUGAUUUCCCCAUCUGACAGGAAGGAAAACAUAAUCUGUCUCCUAUGUUUAUGCACUGGUUGAAUGAAGUCCCAGCCAUGAAUUUGUUUGGUGAAUUGCAAAGCACUAUGCGAUGCUGUAUUUUCUUCACCACAACUCAUGCUCUGACAUAGGAACAGUAUUGGUUCUUUCUGGAAUGCUACUCUUUAUAGAGCUUCUUAGAUUGUACUUUUCAAGGGUUGAGGUCAGACCUAACCAUUCUGCUGCAGAUUUCACGAAGCAUAGCGUUUUUAUAAUAUUAGAAAGAUGGCUCAAAAAGGUUUUCUUUGUUCAGACUUUUCUUGAACAUUUACUAUGUGCUGGACACUGCACUCUUUGCCGGAAUAUCUCAUUUAAUCUUUACAGUGCAUUUCCAAGUGAAGGCAGCACAAUUAGUAUAAUUUUAUAAAAGUGGAAUACUGGAGUCUAAGAUGUUAAUAACUUGUCCAAGGUCCCAACACUGGAUGUCACUGGAGUGGGAAUUCGAAUCCAGGAUGCUUAUCCUUUAAGCACCCCAUCAUACUGUUAGUAGUGACGACAUCACGGAACUUGUCACACAGGAGGACUGAAAGACAGGGACUCUCAGGGGCCAGAAAACAUGAGAGUGAAAGAGAGAUUCCGAAAAACAUCGAGAUUUGUGAAAAUGCUAUUAUGUGUUAGAUAGAAUGCAGGGUACUUUCCAUAAGUCAACUUGGUUAUUUCUCAGAGGAAUUCCAGGAAAUAGGAUUUUACACAUGUGGGAAACAGGCUGAGAGAGGUUAUUUAAUUUGCCAAAGGUCACACAGCUGGUAUUAGAGACAGAAUAUUAAAGUAGGCGUUUCUUACCCCAAAAUCCACUCUCUGCACCAAGAGGCCACUCAGAAAAUAUAAAAAUAAGCAAAUCAAAUAAAUUGACUACGUAAGUUUGAAGGCUUCAAGAAAAUAUAAAUACUUCCACCCAGAAAUUCUAUGUCCUGGUUUCAUUCCUAGAAAACCACUUGUAGAGGUACACAGAGGACUCCCCAACGAUCCUUAACACAGCCAUAUGACUGAUAGCCCUCAUCCCACCCCCCCAAAAAAAGUCUAGUGAGAAGAAAAUGCUUAAAAAUAUUCUGAUGCAUGCAUAUCAUGGAGUUCUUUCCAGCAGUCAAAGAGAAUGAAGGCAAAAAAUGGAAAGCUCUCCAAAACAUAUCGUUCACUGAAAACCAAACUGUGACAUACUGCAUAGAGUUUGAUAGCAUUCCACAGAAUAAAAUUUUAUUCUGUGUGGACAUAUAUUAAUAUAUACAAAUGCAGACCGGGCACGGUGGCUCACUCCUGUAAUCCCAGCACUUUGGGAGGCCGAAGUGGGUGGAUUACUGAAGGUUAGGAGUUUGAGAUCAGCCUGGGCAACAUGGUGAAACCCCAUCUCUAUUAAAAAUACAAAAAUCAGCUGGGCGUCAUGGCGCACCCCUGUAGUAGCCUGUAAACCCAGCUACUCUGGUGGCUGAGGCAGGAGAAUCACUUGAACCUGGGAGGCAGAGGUUGCAGUGAGCCAAGAUCGUACCACUGCACUCCAGCCUGGGCAACAGAGCAAGACUCUGUCUCAGAAAAACAAAAACAUAUGCAAAUGCAUAUAAUAAAAGUCUUGGAGAAAUGGAACGUACAUCAAACAGACAACAGAUUGGCAUUGAGAUGCCAAGCCAAAGGAAUGCUUAUCUGUAUUUUCAUUUUUUUUUUUUUACAAUGAGGAUACAUUUUUUAAUGAGAAGCAAUAUAGCAUAAUGGUUAAGGGCAUAGCUCCUAGAGCCAGUUCAAAUCCCAGCUCUGAAGCUUACCAGCACUGUGCCUGCGUCAUGACUUAAGCUGUCUGUAUAGUGGAGAUGCUGGGCAUGCCAACCUCCCAGAGAAGCUGUGAAGAUUAAACUAAGAGUUACAGGUAAUACACUCAUAAAAGCUGCUGGGGCCGGGUGUGGUGGCUCAUGCCAGUAAUCCCAACACUUUGGGAGGCUGAGGAGGGUGGAUCCCCUGAGGUCGGGAGUUCGAGACCAGUCUGGCCAAGAUGGUGAAGCCCCAUCUCUACUAAAAGUACAAAAAUUAGCUGGGCAUGGUGGCACACACCUGUAAUCCCAGCUACUCUGGAGGCUGAGGCAGGAGAAUCACUUGAUCCUAGGAGGUAGAGGUUGCAGUGGGCCGAGAUCGCGCCGUUGCACUCCAGCCUGGGUGAAUGAGCCAGACUCUGUCUCAAAAAGAAAAACUUCCUGGCAUGGAGUGAGGGCUACCUAAACAACUGAGACCAGGAGGCAGGGGAUAGGGAAGGUAUGGGAAAUUGGCCAGCACAAUUACCACCUGAUGGUGGGAGUUCACACGCAAGAAUCCACUUUGCAUACCUGUGUGCUGUGCAUUCCUGUGGAAUACACCACCACUCCCCACAGCACACCCAGAUAAAGUACUGGGCAGCAUGGCCUCUUCCCCUGGUCCCCAAGACACCUGAGGACAGCCUCCACUGGCAGCACUGAUGUCGGAUACCUAUCAGGAGGUGAUGUUGGGAAAACCACACUACAGCCUAGGUGAGUAUACCUCCAAAUUCAUGUACACCUGGGACAUCAGAGUAUGCCCUUAUUUGAAAAUCAUGUCUUUGCAGAUAUAAUUGUUUAAGGAUCUUGAGAUAAAGUCAUCCUGGAUUUAGGGUGGGUCCUAACUCCAACGGCUGGAGUCCUUAGAAGAAGAGGAGACAUACCAAGGGAAGAAGGUCACCUGGAGAUGGAGGCAGAGAUUGGAGAGAUGCAGCCACAAGCCAAGAAACACCUGGAGGCACCAGAAACUGGAGGACGCAAAGAAUGGCCCUCGCUUAGAGCCUUCAGAGGGAGCAAGGCCCUGCUAACACCUUGAUUUUGGACUCUGGCCCCCAGAACUGAGAAUAAAAUUCUGUUGUUGCAACCCACCAUGCUUGUUAUUGGUUAUGGCCACUCUAGGAAACUACUUCACUGGGGACACCUGAAGGUGCAGUACCUGAGUUCCUAUCACUCCUCCACCUGCAUUUCUCUAUGGGAGGAAGGAGGUGGGGCUUGCUUUGGGAGAGGCAGCUGUCUGGGGUUGGCCCCGGGCACUUUCCAUGGGGUGUAAACAGUGUCUCCUAACCUGUGUUAGAGGCUUUCCAUGGUCUGAGUGAGCCCAGUGCCAGGAAAACUCACUUCUCCCUGCAGCAAGAGAACACACAGGGCUGAUACAUUAACAC
rnacentral:lncRNA from 1 species